rnacentral:rRNA from 1 species
UACGUAGGGUGCGAGCGUUGUCCGGAAUUAUUGGGCGUAAAGGGCUCGUAGGCGGUUUGUCGCGUCGGGAGUGAAAACCUUGGGCUUAACUCAGGGCUUGCUUUCGAUACGGGCAGACUAGAGGUAUGCAGGGGAGAACGGAAUUCCUGGUGUAGCGGUGAAAUGCGCAGAUAUCAGGAGGAACACCGGUGGCGAAGGCGGUUCUCUGGGCAUGAUCUGACGCUGAGGAGCGAAAGUGUGGGUAGCGAACAGG